rnacentral:tRNA from 1 species
GUGGAGAUGGGGCUGUAGGAGCCCCGCCCGGCUGUAACCCGGGUGCCGGUACCCAGGCACAGGGGGUUCGACUCCCUCCUCCACC